UCGAUGGAAAACAUUCGAUUGAUUUAACCAUUGUUAAAAAGUUAUCAACUUUAAUAUUUGCAUAUUUACAUUGUCAGACAAUUUAAUCAAUUUGGGUCGGACUGGAAGUUGCUGUGCAUUUUAUUUUUCCACCGCAAACCCGGCGUCGAUAACCACACCCAUGUAAGGUGUGGUUUUUAUAUAUUCCGUCAGGAUGAUCUUAUCGAGCUAAGAAAAAUUACAUCUCACAUGUCAUGGCACACCUCUCUAAGACGUGAAUGAAGAGGUGUUAUUUAACAGCAGAAAUACUGAUACAAACUAACCUGAUGCCUAUGCAACUUUGUCUUCUGGGCGAAACUCUUCUCACACGUGGCACACUUGUGGGGCUUCUCUUUAGUGUGGGUGCACGGAAACCGGACCGGAUUCUCGGAAUGAUCCACUUUAAAGUGCUUCACAAGACUACCCUUGGUCAAAAAUAUUCUGCCGCAGUGGUCUGAAGUGCAUGGAAAUCGGGGUCGUUCCAUCGUGUU